AGGAGAUUUGGGGAAGGGACCCAUAUAUGGCUGGUCCUGGAUAGGGAGAUCUAUGCUGUGGGUAUAAAAAGAACUUUUGAAGCAAGACUCAGCACACAGCAGGUUGAGGCAGAGGGAUUGCCAUGGACUGGAGACAAGCCUGGGCUACAUCAUGAGACACAAACUCAGAACUUAUUCCCAAGACCUUGGCAGGAGAUGGCUUGGUUGCUACAGGAAUGGCCGUUUUACAUUCACAUGAGCAAGGGCUUCGUAUUUCUGGCCCUGGCACUAUGCCUCAUCCUCCUGCCCACCAUGUUCCUCUCCUUUCGACCCGUCUGCUGCAGCCUGAACAAGAUAGACUUCAUCUUCAGUUUCCUCAGCAUUGUUAUCGGUGCGGAUGUGGAGCUACAGUUUGCCUACCAUGGAGCAGAGGCUCAGCUACUUCCGUUGGGCCUCGAGACACCACUCAUUGCAUUUGCAGCAGCAGACCAUUUUGGACAGGAACUUGGAGCCUGUCCAGAAGCUGUCUGAUAGAACCAGCUUUGUGAACUAUCAUGGGGCUCUCCAACAGAGGGACACUGCAACUUCUCAGGACACUGAUGAGUCUCCGCAGCCAGAUGCCUCCACCUCUGUCCCUGUGGCUCAGUUUUCAUCAGACCUCCCUUGAGGUGCCAUAUUUCCCCUGAGAGCAGGUUGCACCCUCGGGACAGGGGUGGCAAGCCCUGCUCCCCGCGGUAGGUCCUACUCCUUGCUGCCUGAGUCUUGGUAGGGACUCUUCUCUGGAAGUCCUCCAAUACUCUCAGCUGUGGCUGUGUCCCUCUGACCAGACUAUGGUUUGUGGUCCUGAGCAGUGGGAGUAGUGUGGCCCUUUUCAGAAAAUGAGCAAUGUUCCUGCCCCCCCUUAGACAUGACAUGUUCCAUAGUCACUCUUUAUCUUUUGGUCCAGCCAUACCAGAGACAUCCCCUUCAGGGGCCCUAGGUCUGCAGCCUAGCCUUGGGGCCAGAACCUGCCCUUCUGUGGACAGACUCCUUCCCAGGAAGUCAAGCUUUAAUUAACAUAUCACCCCUGCCCAACUCAAUUAAACUUGGUCCACAGUCC
rnacentral:lncRNA from 1 species